AUUGAACGCUGGCGGCAGGCCUAACACAUGCAAGUCGAGCGGAUGAAGGGAGCUUGCUACUGGAUUCAGCGGCGGACGGGUGAGUAAUGCCUAGGAAUCUGCCUGGUAGUGGGGGAUAACGUCCGGAAACGGGCGCUAAUACCGCAUACGUCCUGAGGGAGAGAGUGGGGGAUCUUCGGACCUCACGCUAUCAGAUGAGCCUAGGUCGGAUUAGCUAGUUGGUGGGGUAAAGGCCUACCAAGGCGACGAUCCGUAACUGGUCUGAGAGGAUGAUCAGUCACACUGGAACUGAGACACGGUCCAGACUCCUACGGGAGGCAGCAGUGGGGAAUAUUGGACAAUGGGCGAAAGCCUGAUCCAGCCAUGCCGCGUGUGUGAAGAAGGUCUUCGGAUUGUAAAGCACUUUAAGUUGGGAGGAAGGGCAGUAAGUUAAUACCUUGCUGUUUUGACGGUACCAACAGAAUAAGCACCGGCUAACUUCGUG
rnacentral:rRNA from 1 species